UCAGUUCGGAUUGUAGGCUGAAACUCGCCUACAUGAAGCUGGAGUUACUAGUAAUCGCAGAUCAGAAUGCUGCGGUGAAUGCGUUUCCGGGUCUUGUACACACCGCCCGUCACACCACGGAAGUUGGGGGCGCCCGAAGCCACUUAGCUAACCCUUUGGGAAGCGAGUGUCGAAGGUGAAAUCAAUAACUGGGGUGAAGUCGUAACAAGGUAAC
rnacentral:rRNA from 1 species